AGAGUUUGAUCCUGGCUCAGAACGAACGCUGGCGGCAGGCUUAACACAUGCAAGUCGAGCGCCUCGCAAGAGGAGCGGCAGACGGGUGAGUAACGCGUGGGAAUCUACCCAUCUCUACGGAACAACUCCGGGAAACUGGAGCUAAUACCGUAUACGUCCUUCGGGAGAAAGAUUUAUCGGAGAUGGAUGAGCCCGCGUUGGAUUAGCUAGUUGGUGGGGUAAUGGCCUACCAAGGCGACGAUCCAUAGCUGGUCUGAGAGGAUGAUCAGCCACACUGGGACUGAGACACGGCCCAGACUCCUACGGGAGGCAGCAGUGGGGAAUAUUGGACAAUGGGCGCAAGCCUGAUCCAGCCAUGCCGCGUGAGUGAUGAAGGCCCUAGGGUUGUAAAGCUCUUUCAACGGUGAAGAUAAUGACGGUAACCGUAGAAGAAGCCCCGGCUAACUUCGUGCCAGCAGCCGCGGUAAUACGAAGGGGGCUAGCGUUGUUCGGAAUUACUGGGCGUAAAGCGCACGUAGGCGGAUACUUAAGUCAGGGGUGAAAUCCCGGGGCUCAACCCCGGAGCUGCCUUUGAUACUGGGUAUCUCGAGUCCGGAAGAGGUGAGUGGAAUUCCGAGUGUAGAGGUGAAAUUCGUAGAUAUUCGGAGGAACACCAGUGGCGAAGGCGGCUCACUGGUCCGGU
rnacentral:rRNA from 1 species